rnacentral:rRNA from 1 species
AUUGAACGCUGGCGGCAGGCCUAACACAUGCAAGUCGAGCGGAUGAUGGGAGCUUGCUCCUGGAUUCAGCGGCGGACGGGUGAGUAAUGCCUAGGAAUCUGCCUGGUAGUGGGGGGACAACGUUUCGAAAGGAACGCUAAUACCGCAUACGUCCUACGGGAGAAAGCAGGGGACCUUCGGGCCUUGCGCUAUCAGAUGAGCCUAGGUCGGAUUAGCUUGUUGGUGAGGUAAUGGCUCACCAAGGCGACGAUCCGUAACUGGUCUGAGAGGAUGAACAGUCACACUGGAACUGAGACACGGUCCAGACUCCUACGGGAGGUAGCAGUGGGGAAUAUUGGACAAUGGGCGAAAGCCUGAUCCAGCCAUGCCGCGUGUGUGAAGAAGGUCUUCGGAUUGUAAAGCACUUUAAGUUGGGAGGAAGGGUUGUAGAUUAAUACUCUGCAAUUUUGACGUUACCGACAGAAUAAGCACCGGCUAACUCUGUGCCAGCCGCCGCAGUAACAC